UGGGCAGUGUGGGAUGGAGACAUCCUGACUGUGGACCGCGAUGGCGAUGGCCGGGGCCUCACACACAGAACAGCGGCUGAUACUCCACUGGCAUUUUGGAACAGCUCUGUUCUUCUACAAGUUCUCACACAUACUGGGCCAAGUUGGAUCACCAGGGAGUGGCGUCUUCAUGGAAUAGCAUUUUGGGUGCACUGCUCAGUGGCAUUCAAUAUAUUCACCUUCACCGCCGACCAGCUCCAGAACUUUCUCAUCCUAAACUGAAAUCUGUCCCCGUUAUACACGCACUCCCCGUGUCCCUCUCCCCCCAACCCUCAGCAACAGCCAUUGUACUUUCUGUUUCUAUGAAUUUGAUGACUUCAGGGGCCUCGUAUGUGUGGAAUCACAGAAUCCGACCUUUUGUGACUGGCUUCUUUCACUCAGCAGAAUGCCCUCAAGGGUCAUCUAGGUGGUAGCAGGUGAUAAGAGUUCCUUCUUUUUAAGACCGAAUAAAGGCUGGGCAAGGUGGCUUACACCUGUCGUCUCAGCACUUUGGGAAGCCGAGGUGGGAGGAUUGCUUGAGGUCAAGAGUUUGAGACCAGCCUGGCCAACAUGGUGAAACCCUGUCUCUACUAAAAAUACAAAAAUCAUCUGGGCUUGGUGGUGGACACCUGUAAUCCCAGCUACUCAGGAGGCUGAGGCACAAAAAUUCCUUGAACCCGGGAGGCGGAGAUUGCAGCGAGCUAAGAUCGUGCCACUGCACUCCAGCCUGGGCGACAGAGCAAGGCUGUCUCAAAAAACAAAAAACAAGAAAACAACCCAACAAAAAAGACGGACUCCUCUUGUACUGGGUGGAUACUGACUGCAUUUUGCUUCUUAAUUCCUCUGUUGAUGGACACUCGGGUUGCUUUCAGCACUCGGUGCUUGUGAGUAGUGCUGCUGUGAACCUUGACGCACAAACACUUGUUUGACGGGUGACUUCAUCUUUACGCCAUCUCUUUCCAAUAUUCAGCUCGUUCGUGAUUAGGAAGUGCAAAUUAAAUUUAAUACUUGUCUAAACACAAUACAGUGAGGAAGAAGAAAGCCGUUCAUACUGCACAUUUCUGAGCCCCCUGCAGUUUGAAUAUCUGCUAUUACAGCAAGUAAAUGACAUGGCCUGUGUCUCAGCUUCCCAGGGACCAGGUCGUGCAGGUGAUGGAAAUGACACAGGAGGAGCCAUCAUGGCUCCUGCCUCUUUGACCGGAGUCUGGGCACAGCGUGGAAAUGAACGUCUGUUCUCCCCCUACAUUAAGCGGGCCAUUGCCAGCUCCUGCCCCUAGAGAUGUCGAAGCACAGAUGUAUAAGUCCUGCUUACCUUUCAGGCCAAAUAUCCCUGGCGCCCCUUUGUCACCAGGCAGUCCAAUCCGCCCCAGCUCUCCCUGCGACCCUGGAGGCCCAGUCAGCCCUGGAAAGCCUGGGGGUGAACACAGCAUUAAGUCUGAGCACACAGGACACCUUGGGCGCUGUGUGGUGAGGUCCUGGCAGGAGGGGCAGCCGCUCUGGGAGGGGCCGAGGGCCGGAAGGGCCGCAGUGCCAGUUGGAGGAGAGAUUAGAACUGUCCCUCAAGC
rnacentral:lncRNA from 1 species